AUUGAACGCUGGCGGCAGGCCUAACACAUGCAAGUCGAGCGGAUGAAGGGAGCUUGCUCCUGGAUUCAGCGGCGGACGGGUGAGUAAUGCCUAGGAAUCUGCCUGGUAGUGGGGGAUAACGUCCGGAAACGGGCGCUAAUACCGCAUACGUCCUGAGGGAGAAAGUGGGGGAUCUUCGGACCUCACGCUAUCAGAUGAGCCUAGGUCGGAUUAGCUAGUUGGUGGGGUAAAGGCCUACCAAGGCGACGAUCCGUAACUGGUCUGAGAGGAUGAUCAGUCACACUGGAACUGAGACACGGUCCAGACUCCUACGGGAGGCAGCAGUGGGGAAUAUUGGACAAUGGGCGAAAGCCUGAUCCAGCCAUGCCGCGUGUGUGAAGAAGGUCGUCGGAUUGUAAAGCACUUUAAGUUGGGAGGAAGGGCAGUAAGUUAAUACCGUGCUGUUGUGACGUUACCAACAGAAUAAGCACCGGCUAACUUCG
rnacentral:rRNA from 1 species